AAUUCGAUCAUUUACAAUUUAUUUUCUAUAGUGGACAUACUGUAAAAAACUUACUCUACUGCAGGGUGUCCAAUGAACUUUACAUCUUUGUUAUAUUAUACAAGACAAUAAUAAAACCAUGACGACAAACGUACUUUUACAUUGGUAAUACUACAUGCGAUUGCACAUGUAUUUUUUUGUUGAAAUUAAACGGAGUAUACAGAGUUCUUGUAGGGGAAAAGAGAAGUGUGACGAGAUUCGUAUAGUAUAAAUCAGCGGUUCUCAACCUUUUCAUAUCCGUGUACCAUCAACACAUAUUGACAUUUUUCACGUACCACAUACGAUUAUUCAAAUUUUUUUAUUUUACUCAUCAAAAAAUAAAAUGUAUACGUUAUUAUUUUACAUGUAUGGAGCUUUUUGU